rnacentral:rRNA from 1 species
CGAACGCUGGCGGCGUGCUUACCACAUGCAAGUCGAACGGAAAGGCCCUGCUUUUGUGGGGUGCUCGAGCGGCGAACGGGUGAGUAACACGUGAGUAACCUGCCCUUGACUUUGGGAUAACUUCAGGAAACUGGGGCUAAUACCGGAUAGGAGCUCCUGCUGCAUGGUGGGGGUUGGAAAGUUUCGGCGGUUGGGGAUGGACUCGCGGCUUAUCAGCUUGUUGGUGGGGUAGUGGCUUACCAAGGCUUUGACGGGUAGCCGGCCUGAGAGGGUGACCGGCCACAUUGGGACUGAGAUACGGCCCAGACUCCUACGGGAGGCAGCAGUGGGUAAUAUUGCACAAUGGGCGGAAGCCUGAUGCAGCAACGCCGCGUGCGGGAUGACGGCCUUCGGGUUGUAAACCGCUUUCGCCUGUGACGAAGCGUGAGUGACGGUAAUGGGUAAAGAAGCACCGGCUAACUACGUG